rnacentral:lncRNA from 1 species
GGUUCCUUUUUCUCCACAACCUCUCCAACAUUUGUCACUCUUGGUUUUGGAUGUUUUUGCCAAUCUAACGGGUGUAAGGUGGUAUCUUAGUGUAGUUUUGAUUUGCGUUUCCCUGAUGAUUAGCGAUGAUGAACAUCUUUUCAUGUGUCUAUUGGCUAUAUUCAUAUCUUCUUUUGAGAAAUGUCUGUUCAUGUCCUCUGCCCAUUUUUUGAUCGGGUUGUUUGUUUUUUUGUUGUUAGCCGUGUGAGUUCUUUGUACAUUAUGCAGAUUAACCCUUUGUCAGAUAAGUGGCUUGUAAAUAUUUUUUCCCAAUUACUGAGCUGUUUUUUUGUUUCAAUCCUGUUUUCCCUUGCCUUAAAGAAGCUCUUUAGUCUGAUGAAGUCCCAUUUGUUUAUUCUUUCUAUUGUUUCCCUCAACUGAGGAGUUAUAGUGUCCAAAAAGAUUCUUUUGAAACUGAUGUCAAAGAGUGUACUGCCUGUAUUCUCUUCUAAAAGACUUAUUGUUUCAGGCCUAAUCUUUAGGUCUUUGAUCCAUUUUGAGUUUAUUUUGGUGUGUGGUAAAAAAGAAUGGUCAAUUUUCAAUCUUUUGCAUGUGGCUGUCCAGUUUUCCCAUCACCAUUUGUUGAAGAGACUUUCAGGCUUUGUUUUUUACCUUCCUCUGAUUACAACUGUACUUCCACAAUUAAAUACAAAUACAUAUGUAAAUCUUUGUAUAUUUCCAUCCCCACAACCACAUGAUUAUCUAUAUCAGAUCUAUUCCAAUCAUGAAAAGAUCUCACCAGGAGCAUCCAUUUUUGCAAGGUAGUUAGAACAACCCUUUAUUUCAGGCUGGGAGAUUUACUCCCUGAAUUCACUGAAUAACUGACCCCCAGCUUGAACAGACAAAUGCAACAAUCCCUGAAAAUGAAUCCAUUUACAGUACUAUCCUAAUGAAAAUAUUUGUGCCCCAAAAGGAUUCAUCUCUAUCUGUGGUGGCUAUUAUUCUCCUUGGGCUCAUGAAGGCCUAGAUGGCUAGUGCAUAGCUAGGCAAUAACUCCUGGGUUACCUAACUGUAUCCCUAACUAUUCACCAAUGAACUAAGAUACCUCAUUGGUCAACUUCCCUGAAUUUACAUCACUGAGUUAAAAAGGACCUACCAGGAGGCAUUCAUGAUUCAAUAUUCACUUCCUUUGGCAGGACACUACUUCCUUGGUUAGUAGUUAAUGUUGAGAAUAUGAUCAGGAACUUCUUACCUCUUGAAAAUAUAGCAGAAUCUGCUGCUAGGUCAAUAGCUGCUCCAAAAAUUCCUUAGACUCUUAGGCCAAUGUUGUUCAUCGACUGAUAGGAUGCCUUUGAUUUUCAUUUUGCUGAGCAAGGAGGUAUCUGUGCUGUGGCAGCACCACUUGCUACCUGUGGAUUAACACUUCUGGAAAAGUUGAAUCUCUGUUAAAUAAGAUCACUAAACAAGCCACUUGGCUCAAAAAGGUAAUUCCUUCAACAAGGUGUUUCUUUUACAUUUGAUUUUGAUUGAUUUGGGUCGUGGAGACCAUACCUGCAAAGGGCACUCCAAACGUUGGGAAAUAUCCUACUUAUAAUAAUUAUGGUAGUCUCCCUGACAUGUUAUCUUAUCUCAAAACCUUCAAAUGCAUGUUUGCAGUUGGUAAGUGCCAAGGAAGGCAUCUCCCUAAGACUGCAACAUCAGAAAAGGAACAAAGAGAAUGAUUAAAUUUAAAGAGAGUGAACCUGAAGAUUUGACCUGUCAAUAUCAUAAGAGAUUUAGCAAAAACAUUAUGACAGGAGAAUACCCCACAGAGAAGCAGAAAAAACUGUGAGAACUUUGGAAUAGUAGCUAGCAUUGGUGCCAGUGCCUUAAUUUUUUGUUUUAAUUGAGCUGGCAUUCUUCAUAAUAUUAUAUGUUUCAUCUGUACACUAUAAUUUGGCUUCUGUAUGCACUACAGGGUUCUCACCACCAAAAUCUAAUUUCCAUCCAUCACCAUACAGUUGACCCCCUUUACCCAUUUUGCUCUCCCUUUACCUCCCUUCCCCUAUGGUAACCACCAAUCUGAUCUUUACAGUCACGUGCUAGUUUUUGUAUUGUUUUGUUUGUUUAUUUAUUUUAUAUUCCACAAAUGAGUGAAAUCUUAUGGUUUUUUGUCUUUCUCUGUCUGACAUUUCAUUUAGCAUUGUUGAUGCAAAACAACCAAUAACCACUCUACAGAUAAGAGAGGUAGGUGAAUUUUACUUGAGCCAAAGAGAGGAUUGUAACCUGGGAAGGCCCUUCCCAGAAAAGAAGAAAGCAUUCCGGAGAAGCAUGGUUCUCAGUACAGUCUUAUAUAUUUUCAGAAGAAAGAACAUACAUUAAACACACCCACGCUACAUGUUCAAUCAAAGUUUCAAAGGGAUGGUCAGUUGCAAAUUAGCAGGUCAACAUGACCUUGAUGUCUGGAAAAGAACUAAUGCUGGAGUUACCAAUGGGGCAUUACCAACAGGGCAUAGCAGGGGGAGUAUGCAUUCUUAUCUUAAGAAAGUGCAUUCUUUACUUUAAUAGUUAAAGCAGAUGUACAAUGCAUGUUUGAUAGGCCACAAGUCAGACUCUUUAGUUCAAGGUGAAUCUGUUUUGAACCCAAAUAGUUACCACAUAUACCUCAAUAUGUGAAAAUCUCAAGGUGCAUCCAUGAAUGGCAGCAUUUCGUCUUUUUCAUGGCUAAGUGUUAUAUAUACUGUGUGUAUAUACAUACAUAACAUGUCUUCUUUAUUCAUUCAUGCAUCCAUGGACUCUUAGGUUGUAUCUCGGCUUUUGUAAAUAAGGCUGCAGUUAAUGAAGUGUUACAUAUGUCUUUUUGAAAUAGUGUUUUUGUAUUCUUUGUAAAGAUACCCAUAAGUCGGAAAGCUGGAUCAUAUGGUAGUUUUAUUGCUAUUUUUUUAAAAUGAACCUCCACACUGUUUUCCAUAGUGACUGCACUAACUUACAUUUUGACCAGCAGUGUAUGAGGGUUCCCUUUUCUACACAUGCUCUCCAACACUUAUUUCUUGUCUUUUUGACAACAGCCAUUCUAACAGGCAUGAGAUGACAUCUCACUGUGGUUAGAUUUUCCUUGUUAAAAAUAAUCAGUGAUGUUGAAUAUAUUUUUAUGUGCCUAUAGGACAGCUGUAUAUCUUCUUUGGAAAAAUGUUUAUUUAUGUUCUCUGUCCAUUUUUUAGUCGUUUUUUUGUUGUUGUUGUUGGGCUGUAUGUAUUCUUUUUUAUUUAGGAUAUUAACUCCUUAUUUUGUACAAAAUUUGAAAUAUUUUCUUCUAUUCAGUAGGUUGUCUUUUCAUUUUGUUGAGAGUUUCCUUUGCUGUGCAGAAGCUUUUGAGUUUGAUGUAGUCCCAUUUGUUUAUUUUUGCUUUUGUUUCCCUUGCCUGUGGAGACAUGAUAUUCCAAAAGGUACUGCUAAGACCAGUGUCAAAGAGCAUACUGCCUCUGUUUUCUUCUAGGAGUUUUAUGAUUUCAGGUCUCACCUUCAAAUCUUUAAUGCAGUUUGAUUUAAUUUUUUGUAUGCUGUAUCAUAGUGGCCUAGUUUCAUUCUUUUGCAUGUGGUUGCCUAGUUUUUCCAACACCAUUUAUUGAAGAGACUUUCCUUUCUCUAUUGUAUGCUCUUGCCUCCUUUGGCAUAGAUUAAUUGUCCUUAUAUGUCUGGGUUUAAUUCUGGGUUCUCAAAUCUGUUCUAUUGAACCAUGUGUCUGUUUUUCUCCCAAUAACCUGCCGUUUUGAUUGUUAAAGCUUUGUAGUAUGCUUUGAAAUCAGGGAGUGUUGAGCAUAGAAUUUCAACCUGUGCAAAGUUUUGUUUGUGUUUUACAUGUUAUAGCUGAAACCGGAAGCUUCCGUUUUUACUUCAUAAUUCACAUACUGUAGCUACCUAGUCAUUUGUCUCCAUGCCUUUAGGUAAAUUGCUUAUUUAUUUAUUUUUUUGAGGAAGACUGGCCCUGAGCUAACAUCCGUGCCCAUCUUCCUCUACUUUAUAUGUAGGGCACCUACCACAGCAUGGCUUUUUGCCAAGCGGGUGCCACAUCCACACCCGGGAUCCAAACCCGUGAAACCCAGGCUGCCGAGAAGCUGAAGGCGCAAAUUUUAACCACUGCACCACCGGGCCAGCUCUAACUUGUUUCUUUAAAUACAAAUAAAUUCUUUAAGUUCAUUGAGUAUACAAUUUUCUCAACUUAAAUGUAGAACAGAUGGCCAAUUAUUCUCACAUCCUUUGCAGGUCACUUAAAUAUUUUUGUUGAAAUCAGAAAAACUCUAAAUCAAAUAAGCCCCCUCAAAAUAGUUUUAUAAAAGGAUGUUAGCAUAGGAUGGAUUCCAGAUUCAAUUUCAAUCAGGAUAAAGCAGAAUAGGUAAGCAGACUUAUAAACAUCAUGUUUGCUUGUUUUGUUUGUUACUUCACAUUUCACUGUCUAUAUUUUAUAUAUCACAAAAAUAUUUUGCAUAUAAAAUAUAUAUAAUUUUAAAAACACUUUAUUGGGGGGCCGGCCUGGUGGCGCAGCAGUUAAGUUUACUCAUUCUGCUUCAGGGGUCUGGGGUUUGCCACUUCGGAUCCCGGGUUCAGACAUGGCACCCCUUGCCAAACUAUGCUGUGGUAGGCAUCCCACAUAGAAAGUGGAGGAAGAUGGGCACAAAUGUUAGCUCAGGGCCAGUAUUCCUCAGCAAAAAGAGGAGGAUUGGUGACCGAUGUUAGCUCAGGGCUAAUCUUCCUUGAAAAAAAAAAGAAACCACUUUAUUGGAUGCUCUAAGGCCAUGCUAUCCAAGCAGUAGCUAUUGGCGCUGUCGCAACCGGGCACUAGAAACGUGUAGUCAAAGUGGAAAGGCUCUCUAAGUAUAAAAUACACACAACAUUAUCAAGACUUAGAUCGAAAACAAUGUAAAAGAUCACAUUAACAAUUUUGUGUUGCUUACACAUUGAAAUGAUAAUAUGUCAAUGCAAAUAUAAAUAGCAUAUCACAAAUAAUAUAUGUCCAAACAUGUAUGUAAUAUAUUUUUCAGUCUGUAGAUAAUGGGACUGAGCAUGGGGGUGAGGGAUGGUGUGGAAGGCUGCCAAAAUCUCAUCUGUUGCUGUCAGUAGAGAUUUGGGGCCAAAGAUAGGUAUAGACAAAAGUUGCAUAGUAAAAGAUAAUUAUAGUUAAAUAUUUUCAGCAGGUGGUGAAGACCUUUGUCUUCUGUCUUUUGAAUGCAUAUGGUAGACACCAAAAGAGACCAGGCCUUAGAAAACACACUUAGAAAGUGAUGCCAAGAAAAGGAAAGAGGGAAAAAGAGGCUUGUGCUCUAAAAAUCCAUGUUAUCAUAGAGCCAGGUGUCCAUACAUGCCAGAGGCAAUGGACCUGGGACUUCACAGAAGAGUUGAUCAAUAGCCAUGGACUGUCAGUAAGGAAUGUAGAGGCUGUAUAUUGGGUGUGCCAAAGAGUUGAUUGACACCAAAAUCUGAGAUCCUAUGAUCAUCUCUACACUCAUUCUUUUACUCAUGCAGAUAGGAUAAUGGAGGAGGUGGCAAAUAGUCAUGUAAAAUCGUAUAUCCUGGAGGCCAGUAGUAAGGCUUCAGAACAUACCAUGAUCAAGAAGAAACUUUGCACCCCACAACUCAGGCAGGAGAUGCCUCUCUGGCAAGAGAGGAAGUUAAAUGACAUUUUGGAGAUGGUGAUUGAGAUGUACAUCUGGUCCAUUAGGGAGAACUGGCUGAGGAGAAAGUACAUCCUUGCAUGCAGUUGGGGAUCCAAGUAUAUGAGGCAAAUCAUGGCUGAGGACCCAGCAAGGUAGAAAGAAUAUGAGGAUGAUGGCAACAAGAGAAGAAGGUCACUUAGAUUUGUGGGAAAUAAUGCCAGCAAAAUGAAAUCAUUUGAAGACGGAUUCCAUUUCUGCAGGAAAACUCAGUGCUUUAUCUUAAUUGAAAGAAAAAUAAAAACAUAAACAAAACACAGAACAUGAAAUGAAACAAAACAGAAGCAUGAAAAGGAAUUCUGACUUUAUUAAUGUUUGUUGAGGAUGACUUGUUUUUCCUUCGAUACUUCACCUUUUGUUGAAUUGAUUUCAAUUUCUGAGUUGAAGCUUCCCUUCCAAUUUUGCCGAUAAGCAUUUCAGCAAAUGAUCUUUAAGGAUAAAGUCUCAUAUUAUACCGAGCAAAGAUAAUCAAGAUAAAUAUAACAUUCCUCUUCUCAUAACUCCUGGCCAGGCACAUAGUUCACAAUUUAUCAACAAGUCACAGGAAUCCCUGUAUUCCCUAACAUCUGUCAAUUUAAUAUGGUAUAUUGACAGCGGUAACUGGCUUACACGACUCAGAAACGUUUUGCAUGCUUAAAUUCUAAGUCUUUUGUUACCUAGCCGUCUUCUACAUCUUUAAUUUCUGGUCUUCCCGCCCCACUACCACUACUCCAGCCAGACAAACCUUAAUUCUCUGCCUCUUACUUUCUUUAUCACUUCUGUGGCUUUCCUAAAAAUAUGCCUAUCAUCCAAAAUCAGUGUCUUGAAUUAUAAAGGUAUUUAUUGCAUGCCCUACAAGAUCUACCUUAAUUAUAAAAUAUUAUUUGAAUAUUUUCUCUUCUAUAAUGAUGUUUCCAUUUGCUGAAGCCAUACAGAACUCAAAAUCAAAUGGACAAAUUUUUACACACAAAUUUCUUUUCAUUAGGUAAAAUAAAUAUGAUAAACUUCACAGAUUAUAUAAUAUGUAUUUUUGCAUUCCAUUUUCCACUGCUUCAAGGAAUAAUUAGUAUGAUAAUGAAAAUAUAACAAAGGUAUCACAAUUGUUGUUACCCUGCAUAUCUACUCUCUACCUGUACCUCUAUCUAUGUAUAUAUCUAUAUUUGUUUAUCCCACUUCUAUAUCUUUGAGAUGCUAUACAAUAUGCGAAAUUUCAUUCACAUUUCAUCAUGUAUUAUAAUUCUCCCCAAGCAAAAUUCUGUCCAUUUAUGCAUAAAUAUGUCCAUUAUUCCAAUAUGAAAAGUAGAAUUCAUUGAUCGGAAUAAUAAUCUUCUCAAAUGCAGUUAGUGAUGCAAUCAGAUUUUGAGCCUGUGUGACUGCUACAAAUUUCUAGUUAUUUCAAUAUUGCAUGUUUCCUAAUUGUUUUGUAAAUGCUUUUCUCUGUGUAGCAUGCAUUAGUCAAAUCAAAUAGUGUAACUGUUACUCUUUUGCAAAAGAUCAUGUUUAAUUCCACAUUUCAGAGUAGAUCAAAGCAUACUGAGAUUAGAGAGGAUGUUUAUUUCCUCCCUCUGUAGUUUAAUUUUUGUUUUUGCUUUUCCCAGUAGAUGGCAGCAGAAUCAAGCAGUUGCAAAUUUGUUCUCAGAAAAGCUGAUAUGAGCAGGAAGAGGGUCUGGAUUUGCAGCUGAUGUGCCUGUACUUACCUUCUUCAGACUUAAUUGAUUACAUAGAGCAGUAAAAUUAAAAUUGUAUACUAAAUUUAGAGUAAAAAAUCAAGAAGGGGUAAAAAUGAAUAAAUUUUCCUUUCUGGAGAAUUUUUCUAGUUAUUUAUGCUUGUACCUUUCCUUGGAAAUUUUUAUAUGUAAGAAUUUUUAGCCCUCUUCUCUUUAUGUUACCUCAGUUCUGGAAAUUUGUUCUUCCUUUCACUGUCUCCACAGCAUGCAAAAACUGUGACUGUUGCAUUUCGUACAUUUCUAGUAGAUAUUUGAUUUAUUCAUUUACCCCAUCUCUAUGUGGGAUUUCCUGCUUUCCAUGUGUUUGUCUCUCUAAGGGAAAAACCUGAUGCCACAUUACAUCCAAGAUAUUGAUUUGGGUAAUAAUUUUAGGUUACUUAUUUUUCAACAGUAAGUAACAAUUUAUAGUUUGUUGCAAUUAUUCACAUUUAAUGACAAAUCAACUGUUACUUCAUAUAACUUUGGUGAACAUGAAUAAAAUUGUGAAAAAGAAUUUGUCAUAGAGAAAUAGAAAUUCAUUUUUAUAACUGUUUAGUUGACCGAUGCUAACAACGAACAGUGCAUAGUCAGAAGUAUAACAGGUGCACAAUUUCACUGUACAUGAAUGCUAGAUGGGAUUGUAGACAUCCUCUGCUUUUUAUAGCUUUCUAGAAAUGAAAACGAAUGACCUAACAGAUGGAGAUAAAACAUACAGUCACCAUAAUUAUAAUACAAUCAUUCUCUCAAGUGAUAUUCACUAGAGUUCUAUUGAAUGGCAGAACUGCUAGGUACUGAAAUGCUUUGAUGAUUAAAAUAUGAGAUUCACCAACCACGUAGUUAAAGUUUAGUGAGUGUACAGUCAAUAGACCCACAAACUCUAACUUGCAAUCUGAUGCCGUAUACUUAUUAGUACAUUAAAGAUAAUGUAGACUAAAGGGAUAAAUACAGAUAGACAAGAGCACUCAAAAAAAACCACUAUGUUGAGGCAAUAUUCAAGCAGGCCUGGUUAAAGAAUUUUCAACUCAGAGUGAAAAGAACAUAAACAGUGAAACCUAUUUAGUUUCUCAGGACAAUAACAAUGAGGCCAGGGUUUGUGAGGCACAUGGCAUUAUGGCAUUUGUGUAAGAAAUGCCAGACCAUGAUAAGAACUUGGAUUUAGUUCUGGGUAUGAGGAGAAGCCAGUGAGAGUACUACAAUUUUAGGUACAUUUCUGGAACUCACAUGAGAUGCUCUGGGUGAGUAGAGAGUUGUCAGGAGGGCUGUCUGUAGGAGACUAGUUAGGAAGACAUCAAAACAGCUCUGGAAAGAGACUACAGCAGUGUUUCUAGGUGGGGGCAUCAGAGUUAUUCAUGGUUGGGGGGCAGCGGUCUAGACUCUGUGCACAUUUAAUGUUGAUGUUUCUUUUUGUGGGAAUUAAGUUCAAUAAUAAAUGCACAUCCCUUGGCAUAGACCAAGUGAAGGAUGCCUGGCAAUCAUUAUCCUAACCUAUUAUGACCUUUACCAGGGUGCUGAUAUGGCAACAUCAGUGAAAUGGUUGCCUAUCUCAUCCUUUGUUCAUGUCUGGCUCUCUCACCCAAUUUUCAAGCUUGUUACUUUUUGCCAGGAAUUGUCCUGAUUUUAAAACAGAAGGCCCUAAGGACUAGGCAAAUCAGAACAGUUGGUGCCUCAUUCAGGGAUUGGGUGGCACCUGAGGAACCAUUCUUUCUCUGUGGCCUCUUGCAGUGACUCUCACAUGGUGGCUCUCAACACUUUAUGUGCCUGAUAAAAUAAACCAAAGUUUUGCCUUAAAAUUAAAUCAAUAUGAUAGUUCAUAAUGAUAAACUGUGGCCAGUUUAGUUUAAAAAUCAUUCUUUAGUAUGCGUGUCCUGGAAAUAUGAGAAAAGAGCCUCUUGGGUAGUUUUCUUCGUUCUUCUGUUUAAUCUAGGUUUAAAUUCAGGGGAAGAAAGAUUCCAACCAUUCCUCACAGGAGGGUUGUUUCCAACGGCAAGUGCUCAACAGACACAGCUGGCACUGUCUCUGUGUUCCAUGUUUAGAAGGGAGACAAGUUCACCUUUCCCUUUGCUCAUCCAGGGACCACUUAUGUCCUGGUAUUUUAAUGAGUACUGAAAUUUAGAAGAGAAAAUAGUGUUCAAGUAUUAUUUUAUUUCUCUAUUUCGUUGAGUCCAAAUUUUCACAAAAGUUCAUAUAAUUUCAGUAGGUUUAUCCUAAUUUAUAUAAAUAGGGUUAUAUUAAUGUAUAAAUCAAUGAGCCAAUUUGAGACAUGAUUAGAUGAAUGUUCUGCAAAAGUAUAAUUUCUCAAAAGUUAAAUAAGUGACUCACAUAAAUAUGGGAUGAAUGAACAUAUAUCAAAUGUUUAUUUAAAUCAUCCAUGAGCAAGCAAACAGGUGUCAGAAAUGGUUCAAAAGCAUUUGUGUUGAUCAGUACAUUUUAUAAACCUCUGAGAAAGACACACUGAAAUAUAUGCUAUUGAUUUUUAUUUUGACGUUUGCUAUUUGUUGCUUUAUGAAAAGUAUUUGGGCUGGAGUUGUGCUGUCUCGAGUUAGGUAUUUCAAUUUUCCAGGUAAGGGAGGCUCUGAUAAUACCACACCUGGUUAGGUUCUGGUUAAUAGUUUGCCCCGAGGGCAAGCUUGUUAAGAAGAACAGAAUGCUCUGAUGCAUUUCAAAAUUGUUUUAUUCCUGUCCAGCUGGAGGCCUGAGAAGAAACCACACAUUUGGUGUCAGGAGAAAAAAAAUACUUCUGACUGCUCGGGUUUUUGUUUUCAGUUACAGUAAAAUUAGUUGAUUUCUUGAUUCAUUACUGGGCACAAAUAUAUGUGUUAACAUGCAACUUCACAGAUUAAGGACCCUGAUUAGUAGUAAAUAGUAAGUAAAACACAGAUGCAUUCAACUUAAAGCCAAAUAACCUUUGAGCGGGCCUGUUAAACAAUGCUCCAGUAUAGCAUUGAAAGGAAAUAGUGCUCUUCCUUUGCUGUAUUUUCUGUUUUAGGUAAUUUUUCUUUACACUUAGGCCAGAACCAGCAUAGACUCUGAGGUAGACAUUUUUUUUUUCAUUGGAAACGAUCAUGAUGAUGAUAAUGUAGGGGAUCAAAAUCGGCCACCUCAAAAUGUGUCUAACUGGCUUAAUUUUAAAGCUAAAGACUCUGAAAGAAUCUUUCACCAUUCCCUUAACUGCCUAAAGGAAUUUAAGUUAGAAGACCUGUCCGCAGGACAAGCCAUCACCAUAGAUAAGUCUCGGUAUCCAUAGACCAUGAGGGUCCUUGCUAAACCCAUCCUUAUCAAAGUUCUAUCUACUGAGUGCUUGCUUUUCCAUUUUCAAGUGAAUUGUCUUCCUCCCCUUUGAAGCCCCAAAACACUAUCCCUAAUCUCUUCCUUUGUCUUUAGCUGAAGAUGAUAUUUAAGUUGACAGCUUCAGCCAUUCUGCUUGAGUCACUCAGUUUUCCUGGGUUUCUUCCAUGCAUACAUGUUAUAAAACUUUGACUUUCUCCUGUUAGUCUGUCUCAUGUCACUUUAAAUCUCAGACCAACCAGAGGACAUAGAGGGUAGAGGAAUUGUCUUCCUCCCCUACAAUAACAGUGAGCAUUUAUACAGCAUUUACAAUGGGCCAGAUACUCUUCCAGAUACUUUACAAAUAUUUCACUUAAUCCUUCCAGUAAUGCUACAAAGUGAAUAAUGUUAUUACUCACAUAUGAUAGAAGAGGAACAUGAAGCUUAUUUAUAAUUGUGAGACAAGAUCACAAAAUGGGUGGGGAAUACAAACAGGAUUAAAAUAUACACAAACAAAAUUGGGAAUUCAAGAGUUUAUAGGCUAUCAAAGCACUGACACCCAGUUCUUGCUGCAGUAAAAGUUCACCUUCAGAUGAUUCAUUUAAAGAAGUAUUUUUCAAAGUGUAAUUAGCAAGCCCUUUGGGUGAUUCAGAUGUUCCCUAAAGUUUGAGAACCUUAAAUCUAAGGUGAUUUAGAUGUACAUUCUUCCACUGUGCUACCACAGGAUAAAAAUAUUCCUUUAAAACACUAACAUUGUUUGCAUUCUUGUAGAACGUAAAAAUUCGUAGAUGGAUGGGCUGUUUUGAAGAUUAAAUAUAAUGCAUGUAAGUUUAUUUAGAAUGCUGAGCAUACUUGCUAGCAUGUAGAAAUGCUUAAUAAAUAAAAUCUAUUAUUAUUAUCAUCACACUAAGAAAAAACGAUAAUCUGUCUAUUUCAGGCGAUUAAUUUACAUUUGUACAGUUCAAGAAGUGGAACUCCAGAUAUUACCUCCAAUAAGUCUGUGCAUUGCUGUUAUCCUUAAGAGUGACACAUCUCUUCACCUUCCUAUUCAGGGUUCUUUUGCUUUUAGCAAAACCUAGGAGGUAAAUAAAUUAAUUGCCCCAUUUACUCUUUAAGAAAUACUUAAAUCUGUGUUCCUUUGCCAAAGGUGAUUUGCCUUUGAAAGUGUCAUUGCACUGGGAAAGGUAUUUUGUAGUUGUGGGAAACUUUAAGUGGUCUUAUAGGACUUCAAAAUAAAAAUGACAUGAGGCUAGGAGCAGAAAGAAGUACACUCAACUCUGAUGUAAGCAAACAUUUGUAGUCAAAUUGUCAGAAAGUACCAUCUACACGCCUCAUGGAUGAGGACUCUCUACUAAGGAGGUGAGUUUAAUUUGUUUCAGAAUUAUUUUUCAUUAUGCUAGGAAGUCAUUUGAAUUGAUUUAUAUUUAUCACGUGUUUGGUAUUUUAAAUUUAAUUUUGAGUUUCAGAAUAACUUUUGUAAAACUGUUUACUCUUCUCACUUACUGUUUGGAAGAACAAAAAGGAACAUAAUUGCUAAGAUCUGUCAAUUACUCUAUCAGAAAUGUUUUCUUCUUUUAAAGGGAUAAAUUGUCACAGGUAAAUGCAGUCAUAGAGAUUUAAUUACUCCAGCUCUUCCAUAUUUUUGUAUUUGUUCCUUAUACAUUCCUAUUCUAUAUUAUAUUUCGUGGAAUUGAUAGACUGCAUGUAUUUAUUAAUUCUGCUUGUGAUGAGCAUUUGGAUUGUUUUCAGUUCAGGUCUACUGUGAAUUAAACUGCUGUAAACAUUUCCAUAAUUGUCAUUUAAUGGACGAAGCUUAUGUUUCUGUUUGGUAAGUAGACCGCAGUGGAAUUAUUGGUUCAUAAAUUAUAAGAAUGUUGAGAUGUACUAGAUAACACAAAAACUUUUUCCAAGUUUUUUAUGCCAAUUCAUACCCUAUUGGCAAUUUUCAGUUGAGAAUUGAGAGUUCCAGUUCUUCAAAACCUUGCCAACACUGGUAUUGUUAGUCUUUUUAAUUUGACCCAUUGCAAUGAGUUUUCCAUUGUAGUUUUUUUUUACUAUUUUGUUGAGAUCAUAAUAGUUUAUAACAUCGUGAUAUUUCAGUUGUACAUUAUUAUUUGUCUAUCACCAUACAUAUGUGCUCCUUUACCCCUUUGUCCAAUCAGCAAACCCUUUCCCCUCUGGUAACUGCUAAUCUGUUCUCUUUGUCCAUGUGUUUGGUUACCUUCCACAUAUGAGUGAAGUCGUAUGGUGUUUUCCUUUCUCUGUCUGGAUUAAUUCACUUAACCCUCAAAGUCCAUCCAUGUAGUUACAAAUGGGAUGAUUUUGUCUUAUUUUUAUGGCUGAGUAGUGUUCCAUUGUAUAUAUAUACACCAUAUCUUUUUUAUUCAUUCAUCAGUUGAUGGGCACCUGAGUCACUUCCACAUCUUGGCUAUUGUGAAUAAUGCUUCAAUGAACAUAGAGGUGCAUAAGUCUCUUUGGAUUGUUGAUUUCCAGUUCUUUGGAUAAAUACCAAGUAGUGGGAUAACUGGGUCAUACGGCAUUUCAAUUUUGAAAUUUUUGCGAAAUCUCCAUACUGUUUUCCAUAGUGGCUGCACCAGUUUGCAUUCCCACCAACAGUGUAUGAAGGUUACUUUUCUCCAUAUCCUCUCCAACAUUUGAUAUUUUUUGUCUUGGUAAUUAUAGCCAUUCUAACAGUUGUAAGGUGAUAUCUCAUGGUAGUUUUGAUUUGCAUUUCUUUAGUAAUUAGUGAUAUUGAACAACUUUCCAUGUGGCCUUGUUAUCUGUAUAUCUUCUUUGGAAAAAUAUCUGUUCAUAUCCUCUGCCCAUCCUUUUAUGGGGUUGUUUGUUUUGUUAUUGUUGAGUUGUAUGAGUUCCUCAUAUAUUUUAGAUAUAUAUAUAUAAACUUACACAUUAUACAUAUUAUAUAUCUCUCUAUGUAUCUCUAUAUAUCUAUCUAUCUAUAUAUAUAGAUAUAUAAACUUCUUGUCAAUAUGUGAUUUGCAAAUAUCUUCUCCUAGUUGGUGGGUUGUCUUUUUGUUUUGUUUCUGGUUUCUUAUGCCUUGCAGAAGUACUUUAGUCUGAUGAAGUCCCAUUUGUUUAUUUUUAUUUUUGUUUCCUUGCCUGAGUAGACAUGGUAUUCAAAAAGAUACUUCUAAAACUGAUGUCAAAGUGCAUACUACCUGUAUUUUCUUCUGAGUUUUAUAGUUUCACGUCUCACUUUCAAAUUUUUAAUGCAUUUUGAGUUGAUUUCUGUGUAUGGUGAGAGACAAUGGUCUACUUUCAUUCCUUUGCAUGUGGCGGUCCAGUUUUCCCAACACUAUUUAUUGAAGAAUCUUUCCUUUAUCUAUUGUAUGUUCUUAGCUCCUUUGUCAAAGAUUAGCUGUCUGUAGAUGUGUGGUUUUAUUUCUGGCCUUUCAGUUCUGUUGCAUUGAUCCAUGUGUAUGCUUUUGUUCUAGUACCAUGCUCUUUUGAUUACUAUAGUUUUCUAGUAUACUUUGAAGUCAGAGAUUGUGAUACCUCUAGAUUUGUUCUUUAUUCUCAAGAUUGCUUUAGCUAUUCAGAGUCCUUUGUUGUCCCCUAUGAAUUUUAGGAUUCUUUGUUCUAUUUCCAUGAAGAAUGUCAUUGAGAUUGUGAUGAAUCCAUAGAUUACUUUAAGUAGUAUGGACAUUUAAACUUUGUUUAUUCUUCCAAUCCAUGUUUAUAGAAUAUCAUUCAAUUUCUUUGUGUCACUGUUGAUUUUUUAAUGUCUUAUAAUUUUCAUUGCAUAGGUAUUUCACAUCCUGGCUUACAUUUAUUCAUAGAUAUUUUAAUCUUUUUGUUGAGAUUGUAAGUGGGAUUGUAUUCUUGAGUUCUCUUUCUUUGGAUUUGUUAAUGAAGUAUAGAAACACAAUUGAUUUUUGUAACUUGAUGUUGUACCUUUCAACUUUGCUGUAGUUGUUGAUUAUUUCUAAUAUUUUUCCAAUGGAUUCUUUCAGAUUUUCUAUACAUAAAAUCAUGUCAUCUGCAAGUAGUGAGAAUUUCACUUCUUACAUUCCACUUGGAUGCCAUUUACUUCUUUUUCUUGCCUAAUUUCUUUGGCCAAAACUUCCAGUGUUGUGUUGAAUAAAAGUGGUGAGAGUGAACACCCUUGUCUUGUUCUUGUUCUCAGAUUGAUGGCUUUCAGUGUUUCCUCAUUGAGUAUGAUGUUUGUUCCCUUAAUAGAGAAACCUCAGUCCUUUUGAACACAAAAUUAUUUUAACAGACGUAGAUAUUCUGUUCUAAAGGUAAACUUAUCUAAGUUAAAGAAAAACCUUGUAUAACCUCUUUAUCAAGAGCAGACUAACACUCCAGGAAAAUUGUCCAUUUAAGAGAGAUAGAAAACCAAAUUUUAAUUUUUGCAUCAGCCUAUUUUUGACAUUAAAAUUCAUUUACUUAGGGUCAAGACAAUGUAUGAAGAAUUUAAAGAAAAUGAGAAAAUGCUAAAUUCUUGGGUUUGAAACUACUGGUCUGUGAAAAUAUGUCUAUGUAUGUGGAAGUAUGUGUGUGUGUGUGCAUACAGGAUGUCCCAUAAUUAUGCCUUUGUGAAGCUUUUCUAACUUUACAAAUGUAAAUGCUACUAAUAUAAAACACAUUAUUUGGAGAUUUAAUUAUAUUUUCAUUGUAAUUAUUUUAAAUAAUAGUAAAUGGUUAGUUUGAAUUUUUGUGUCACUCGUUCUGAGUGAAAAUGGCAAAGAUUGAUGGAAACAAUAAAAACUUAAAUAUUCAAAAUUAAAUAAGUAUAAAAUAAAGUUAUACUUCUGGAUAGAUGAAAGUAGAAAACUUAUUAUGGGGGAUGACCUAUUGGCAGA